rnacentral:rRNA from 1 species
GAUGAACGCUGGCGGUGUGCCUAAAACAUGCAAGUCGAGCGGUAACAGGCUCACUAUUUUCUUGUCACCAUCAUCGAGAUGGAUUUUGAGGAGAGAAGAGUGAGCGCUGACGAGCGGCGGACGGCUGAGUAACGCGUGGGAACGUACCCCAAAGUGAGGGAUAACGCACCGAAAGGUGUGCUAAUACCGCAUGUGAUCUUCGGAUUAAAGUAUUUAUACGCUAUGGGAACGGCCUGCGUCGGAUUAGGUUGUUGGUGAGGUAAUGGCUCACCAAGCCGACGAUCCGUAGCUGGUCUGAGAGGAUGAUCAGCCAGACUGGAACUGAGACACGGUCCAGACUCCUACGGGAGGCAGCAGUGGGGAAUCGUUGGGCAAUGGGCGAAAGCCUGACCCAGCGACGCCGCGUUGGGGAUGAAGCCCUUCGGGGCGUAAACCCAUGUUGUAGGGGACGAAGAAAGUGACGGUACCCUACGAGAAAGCCCCGGCCAACUACGUGCC